rnacentral:rRNA from 1 species
AUGCAGGGACGCCUUACUACUGAGAAUCACCAAAAUUCAUUGCUUUUCAGCUUCAACCUUCAGAUCCCAUGUGAGAUCAUCUGGAGGCCCCAAUCCUGGUUCUCCCCUUCGAUGGCUGGUGGCGACUGGAGUUCGUCUUUGGUCGGCGUCAUUGGAGCGUGCUGGGCGCGCUGUGGUGUUCUCAUACCCGCAUAUAGAGGCCAAGGACAGAAUCACCUUGUUGAAUUGUUCACACGUCCUUUCAUAAUCCUAGAAAGUUGUUUAUGUGGGAUUGAUGAACCAUCAAAGGGUGCCAUGGCCAAUUUUCUCAUCUCAUGGUCAGCUACAGUUCUAAUACUUAUCCCCUUUCUCGGUGCAGUCCUUCUUGAUGAAAGUCUCGGUGAUCCUUUAAAUACUUCAAUAACACGCACACAAUGGUGGAGCUAUACUAGCUCAAGAGGGAGGGAGUGGCGUGCCUUGCCCCUCCCCCACCCGUGGCCAAUCACAGCCCGACAAUUGGCAGCCAGGUGGCUGGACCGGCCAGCGCAUGCACUUUUGCAGAAACCCCCUGCAUUUUUCCCUAUUCAACCCGCACUCUCUUCACCUGAAUUAAAUCUGUCGGAACGAAUCCACCUCGCGUCCGCCUCUGUUCCCCUCGUGCUCAUCUGCCCUCCUCAGCUCCAGCUUCAUCUCCACGCCGACAGCAAGCUCGCCACCGCCGUCCAGCUUCAGCUCCAGCGUCAUGGUCUCCUGGUCGGACGGUUCGUCCUCGACAUCGACAUCCCGAGCAAGAAGGUGACGGUGGUGGGCAACGUGACGCCGCUGGGCGUGCUCACCAGCGUCUCCAAGAUGAAGCCCGCGCAGUUCUGGCCGUCGCAGCCGUGCCCACCGCGCGCCUCCACUUCCUUCUGA